rnacentral:rRNA from 1 species
AGCGUACACGGUGGAUGCCCUGGCAGUCAGAGGCGAUGAAGGGCGUGCUAAUCUGCGAUAAGCGCCGGUAAGGUGAUAUGAACCGUUAUAACCGGCGAUACCCGAAUGGGGAAACCCAGUGUGAUUCGUCACACUAUCAUUAACUGAAUCCAUAGGUUAAUGAGGCGAACCGGGGGAACUGAAACAUCUAAGUACCCCGAGGAAAAGAAAUCAACCGAGAUUCCCCCAGUAGCGGCGAGCGAACGGGGAGGAGCCCAGAGCCUGAAUCAGCAUGUGUGUUAGUGGAAGCGUCUGGAAAGGCGCGCGAUACAGGGUGACAGCCCCGUACACAAAAGCGCAUGUGCUGUGAGCUCGAUGAGUAGGGCGGGACACGUGGUAUCCUGUCUGAAUAUGGGGGGACCAUCCUCCAAGGCUAAAUACUCCUGACUGACCGAUAGUGAACCAGUACCGUGAGGGAAAGGCGAAAAGAACCCCGGCGAGGGGAGUGAAAAAGAACCUGAAACCGUGUACGUACAAGCAGUGGGAGCCCCACCACUAAGCCAGUGGUGAACUCCACAUACGCAUCCUUUGCUGAGGAUACGGUUAACGGAGCGAAAGCGACGUUCAACCGCAAAAGAAGCAGAGGGGGCUUAGUGGUGGGGUGACUGCGUACCUUUUGUAUAAUGGGUCAGCGACUUAUAUUCUGUAGCAAGGUUAACCGAAUAGGGGAGCCGGAGGGAAACCGAGUCUUAACCGGGCGUUAAGUUGCAGGGUAUAGACCCGAAACCCGGUGAUCUAGCCAUGGGCAGGUUGAAGGUUGGGUAACACUAACUGGAGGACCGAACCGACUAAUGUUGAAAAAUUAGCGGAUGACCUGUGGCUGGGGGUGAAAGGCCAAUCAAACCGGGAGAUAGCUGGUUCUCCCCGAAAGCUAUUUAGGUAGCGCCUCGUGAAUUCAUCUCCGGGGGUAGAGCACUGUUUCGGCUAGGGGGCCAUCCCGGCUUACCAACCCGAUGCAAACUGCGAAUACCGGAGAAUGUUAUCACGGGAGACACACGGCGGGUGCUAACGUCCGUCGUGAAGAGGGAAACAACCCAGACCGCCAGCUAAGGUCCCAAAGUCAUGGUUAAGUGGGAAACGAUGUGGGAAGGCCCAGACAGCCAGGAUGUUGGCUUAGAAGCAGCCAUCAUUUAAAGAAAGCGUAAUAGCUCACUGGUCGAGUCGGCCUGCGCGGAAGAUGUAACGGGGCUAAACCAUGCACCGAAGCUGCGGCAGCGACACUCAGGUGUUGUUGGGUAGGGGAGCGUUCUGUAAGCCUGUGAAGGUGGCCUGUGAGGGUUGCUGGAGGUAUCAGAAGUGCGAAUGCUGACAUAAGUAACGAUAAAGCGGGUGAAAAGCCCGCUCGCCGGAAGACCAAGGGUUCCUGUCCAACGUUAAUCGGGGCAGGGUGAGUCGACCCCUAAGGCGAGGCCGAAAGGCGUAGUCGAUGGGAAACGGGUUAAUAUUCCCGUACUUGGUGUUACUGCGAAGGGGGGACGGAGAAGGCUAUGUUGGCCGGGCGACGGUUGUCCCGGUUUAAGCGUGUAGGUGUGUGUUCCAGGUAAAUCCGGUUCACUUUAACACUGAGGCGUGAUGACGAGGCACUACGGUGCUGAAGCAACAAAUGCCCUGCUUCCAGGAAAAGCCUCUAAGCAUCAGGUAACAUCAAAUCGUACCCCAAACCGACACAGGUGGUCAGGUAGAGAAUACCAAGGCGCUUGAGAGAACUCGGGUGAAGGAACUAGGCAAAAUGGUGCCGUAACUUCGGGAGAAGGCACGCUGACAUGUAGGUGAAGUGAUUUACUCACGGAGCUGAAGUCAGUCGAAGAUACCAGCUGGCUGCAACUGUUUAUUAAAAACACAGCACUGUGCAAACACGAAAGUGGACGUAUACGGUGUGACGCCUGCCCGGUGCCGGAAGGUUAAUUGAUGGGGUCAGCGCAAGCGAAGCUCCUGAUCGAAGCCCCGGUAAACGGCGGCCGUAACUAUAACGGUCCUAAGGUAGCGAAAUUCCUUGUCGGGUAAGUUCCGACCUGCACGAAUGGCGUAAUGAUGGCCAGGCUGUCUCCACCCGAGACUCAGUGAAAUUGAACUCGCUGUGAAGAUGCAGUGUACCCGCGGCAAGACGGAAAGACCCCGUGAACCUUUACUAUAGCUUGACACUGAACAUUGAGCCUUGAUGUGUAGGAUAGGUGGGAGGCUUUGAAGCGUGGACGCCAGUCUGCGUGGAGCCGACCUUGAAAUACCACCCUUUAAUGUUUGAUGUUCUAACGUGGACCCGUGAUCCGGGUUGCGGACAGUGUCUGGUGGGUAGUUUGACUGGGGCGGUCUCCUCCUAAAGAGUAACGGAGGAGCACGAAGGUUGGCUAAUCCUGGUCGGACAUCAGGAGGUUAGUGCAAUGGCAUAAGCCAGCUUGACUGCGAGCGUGACGGCGCGAGCAGGUGCGAAAGCAGGUCAUAGUGAUCCGGUGGUUCUGAAUGGAAGGGCCAUCGCUCAACGGAUAAAAGGUACUCCGGGGAUAACAGGCUGAUACCGCCCAAGAGUUCAUAUCGACGGCGGUGUUUGGCACCUCGAUGUCGGCUCAUCACAUCCUGGGGCUGAAGUAGGUCCCAAGGGUAUGGCUGUUCGCCAUUUAAAGUGGUACGCGAGCUGGGUUUAGAACGUCGUGAGACAGUUCGGUCCCUAUCUGCCGUGGGCGCUGGAGAACUGAGGGGGGCUGCUCCUAGUACGAGAGGACCGGAGUGGACGCAUCACUGGUGUUCGGGUUGUCAUGCCAAUGGCACUGCCCGGUAGCUAAAUGCGGAAGAGAUAAGUGCUGAAAGCAUCUAAGCACGAAACUUGCCCCGAGAUGAGUUCU